rnacentral:lncRNA from 1 species
CUCUUAGCAGAGAUGUUCACUGGGAGACAGUCCUAUUGUUUUGUUCUGGUCGUGGCAGGGAAGUUGAUUAUCUGGUAGAUAGUUUCAUGUUAUGUAGAGGCGAUGGCAGUGAUGUAGCCGAAAAGAUUCAUCUAUUACAAAAUUUAGAUAGAAAAGAUGGUUCUGGUUGUUUGGUCCAUGCUUGAGUAGAGAUCAGAUCUGAUGUAGAUGAUGUGUAUGAAAUUGUGUUUGUCAAGAGACCCCGCAGAAUGAGAUGCGGCAGAAUAUCGUGUUGGGGAAACAGUAAAGCAAGGU